GACGAACGCUGGCGGCGUGCCUAAUACAUGCAAGUCGAACGCACAGUUUAUACCGUAGCUUGCUACACCAUAAACUGUGAGUUGCGAACGGGUGAGUAACGCGUAGGUAACCCGCCUGGUAGCGGGGGAUAACUAUUGGAAACGAUAGCUAAUACCGCAUAAUAUUGAUUAUUGCAUGAUAAUUGAUUGAAAGAUGCUAUUGCAUCACUACCAGAUGGACCUGCGUUGUAUUAGCUAGUAGGUGAGGUAACGGCUCACCUAGGCGACGAUACAUAGCCGACCUGAGAGGGUGAUCGGCCACACUGGGACUGAGACACGGCCCAGACUCCUACGGGAGGCAGCAGUAGGGAAUCUUCGGCAAUGGACGAAAGUCUGACCGAGCAACGCCGCGUGAGUGAAGAAGGUUUUCGGAUCGUAAAGCUCUGUUGUAAGAGAAGAACGGGUGUGAGAGUGGAAAGUUCACACUGUGACGGUAUCUUACCAGAAAGGGGCGGCUAACUACGUG
rnacentral:rRNA from 1 species